GACAGAGGGUGCAAACGUUGUUCGGAAUUACUGGGCGUAAAGCGUGUGUAGGCGGCCAGGCAAGUCGGAUGUGAAAGCCCCAGGCUCAACCUGGGAAGUGCACCCGAAACUGCUUGGCUUGAGUAUCGGAGAGGUUGGUGGAAUUCUCGGUGUAGCGGUGAAAUGCGUAGAUAUCGAGAGGAACACCUGCGGCGAAGGCGGGUUGCUGGGCCGACACUGACGCUGAUGCGCGAAAGCCAGGGGAGCGAACGGG
rnacentral:rRNA from 1 species